ACCACAAAUUCACUCAAAAUCAAGGAGUGCAGCAAGGAAAUGGGAGGAGCAAGAAGGCGAGGAGAGGCAGCGGCGAAGCGGAGGAAACAGCCGCGAACCGAGAGGAUUCACCGAGUGAGGUUGAACGUCAAGAGGAUGGAGUGAUGAUCGGAGUCGAUGUUAUCAAGUUGAUCUCCCAACGAUUCAUGUCUUCAUACACGAACCUUACUUAUUCCGCUGCGCUUUUGUGAAGUGAGAAUUGUAGAACCUCACCAUCAACUCUGAUUUAUUUGAGGAGAUGUUUAUUCUGUUUUCAAGACCAUGUAAUGAAAUACUUGGCUUCUUUGAUAUAAAUUGACUUGGCCUUUGUGUAAA